CCUACGGGAGGCAGCAGUGAGGAAUAUUGGUCAAUGGACGAGAGUCUGAACCAGCCAAGCAGCGUGAAGGAUGACUGCCCUAUGGGUUGUAAACUUCUUUUGUAUGGGAGUAGAAUGUUACACGUGUGGCAGUUUGUAUGUACCCUAUGAAUAAGCAUCGGCUAACUCCGUGCCAGCAGCCGCGGUACUACGGGGGAUCCGAGCGUUGUCCGGAUUUAGUGGGUUUAAAGGGGGCGUAGGUGGGUUGUUAAGUCAGUUGCGAAAGUUUGCGGCUCAACCUUAGAAUUGCAGUUGAAACUGGCAGUCUUGAGUACAGUAGAGGUGGGCGGAAUUCGUGGUGUAGCGGUGAAAUGCUUAGAUAUCGCGAAGAACUCCGAUUGCGAAGGCAGCUCACUGGACUGCAACUGACACUGAGGCACGAAAGUGUGGGUAUCAAACAGGAUUAGAUACCCGAGUAGUC
rnacentral:rRNA from 1 species